UCAGACGAUGCGUCAUGCAUAUCAAUAAGCGGAGGAAAAGAAACUAACAAGGAUUCCCCUAGUAACGGCGAGUGAAGCGGGAAGAGCUCAAAUUUGAAAUCUUAAAGGGUUUCCCUUUACGAAUUGUAGUUUAAAGAAGUGUUUUCUGUUGAGGUUUUGGUAAAAGUUCUUUGGAAUAGGACAUCAUAGAGGGUGAGAAUCCCGUAUUUGACCUCUACUUUCAACUUUGUGAUACACUUUCAAAGAGUCGGAUUGUUUGGGAAUGCAGUCCAAAAUGGGUGGUAAACUUCAUCUAAAGCUAAAUAUUGGCGAGAGACCGAUAGCGAACAAGUACCGUGAGGGAAAGAUGAAAAGAACUUUGAAAAGAGAGUUAAACAGUACGUGAAAUUGUCAAAAGGGAAGCGUUUGACACCAGUGUUGUUUUUCUGAAAAUCAAUUAAAGAACUGUUUAUGCUAAGCUGUUUAGACUUUAUCAGCUAACUGUUUAGUUUUGAGCUUUUCUUUAAUGCACUUUUCAGUUAACAAGUCAACAUCAAUUUCUUUUGCUGUAAAAAAGCUUGAGGAAGGUGGCUUGAGAUUCGUCUUAAGUGUUUAUAGCCUCUUGCCUAUGCAGUCGGAGAGAUUGAGGUCUGCAGCGUAGAUCCUUCGGGGCUAAAUGCAUUUGUGCUAAGUUAUAGCAUUUUAUAGACAACUUGUUGACUAUGAUUUGUCUUGUAGCUUACUCGCUUAUGUUAUUUUACCUACGCUUAGGAUGUUGAAUCUGUGCGAGACUAC
rnacentral:rRNA from 1 species